UGAUUCAAUUUUAAGAAGGUGUCUA
rnacentral:piRNA from 2 species